CUACCUGAUAUUUAAUGAGGUUCUGCAUAGUCAGGCCACUCAAAUGGCUGUUGUCUUGCUCUGUGUACACCCCCUGGCCCACCAGAGCCUGCUUCACCCUGCAAAGAGCUGACCUUCUAGGAAGGUACUUGCCCCAGGUCCCAGCUGGUGAUUGUUCUCAUCAAAGGGACGGUGAGGGGCGUGCCCUCUACUGGUUUCCCUGGUAACUAGUGAGCCUGCUGCUGCUGCUAAGUCGCUUCAGUCGUGUCCGACUCUGCGACCCCAUAGACAGCAGCCCACCAGGAUCCCCUAUCCCUGGGAUUCUCCAGGCAAGAUCACUGGAGUGGGUUGCCAUUUCCUUCUCCAGUGCAUGAAAAUGAUAAGUGAAAGUGAAGUCGCUCAGUCGUGUCUGACUCUUAGCAACCCCAGGGACUGCAGCCCACCAGGCUCCUCCGUCCAUGGGAUUUUCCAGGAGCGAAGACUGCCUGCGGUCCUGUCCUGCCCGCCGUCUGCUGCAAGCUCUGGGGUGUCCUCCAGGACCUUGCUUCAGACAGUCACUGUUGCUGCUGCUGCUGCUAAGUCGCUUCAGUCGUGUCUGACUCUGUGCGAUCCCAUAGAGGGCAGCCCACCAGGCUCCCCUGUCCCUGGGAUUCUCCAGGCAAGAACACUGGAGUGGCUUUCCAUUUCCUUCUCCAAUGGAUGAAAGUGAAAAGUGAAAGUGAAGUCGCUCAGUCAUGUCGGACUAUUAUCGACCCCAUGGAGUGCAGCCUACCAGGCUCCUGCGUCCAUGGGAUUUUCCAGGCAAGAGUACUGGAGUGGGGUGCCAUUGCCUUCUCCAUCAGUCACUGUUAUGUCUGACUAAAUAUUUUCACCAAACUCUGAUACUACUCUUGGGGAAAAAAAAAGUUUAAAACUCUCUUAAUGUGUUAGAAGCUCCUUCACCAAAGGAUGAUAAUAAACUAUGAUGUUAACAGUCUGAGCAAAUCCUUUGUCAUCUGUGAAGUCAUUAUGCUGAGCAAUAGCUGACAUAAUGAACCACUUACUUGUAAUGGCAUGUAUGUUUUUUAAAGCAAACUCUCCCCAACUAAGGCCAACUAAUGGGUAUGUGUCCAAAAAAGUAUGUUUCAGAAGCAAAAUCUCACAUGCUUAUUUUUUCCUCCUCUGGACCUUGUUUUUACAUUGAGGAAUGAGCUAUUGUGCUAAUU
ensembl:lncRNA